UACGAAGGGGGCUAGCGUUGUUCGGAAUCACUGGGCGUAAAGCGCACGUAGGCUGAUCUUUAAGUCAGGGGUGAAAUCCCGAGGCUCAACCUCGGAACUGCCUUUGAUACUGGGGAUCUCGAGUCCGGGAGAGGUGAGUGGAACUGCGAGUGUAGAGGUGAAAUUCGUAGAUAUUCGCAAGAACACCAGUGGCGAAGGCGGCUCACUGGCCCGGAACUGACGCUGAGGUGCGAAAGCGUGGGGAGCAAACAGG
rnacentral:rRNA from 1 species